GAGACGUGCCAGAGAGGCUUAUUGGGAUCGACUUAAAAUCGAUUGAUCGGCGCCCGCCGUUCCGUGGGUUCGAAUCCCACCGUCUCCG
rnacentral:tRNA from 1 species